CACGCCGUAAACGAUGGAUACUAGGUGUAGGAGGUAUCGACCCCUUCUGUGCCGGAGUUAACACAAUAAGUAUCCCACCUGGGGAGUACGGCCGCAAGGUUGAAACUCAAAGGAAUUGACGGGGGCCCGCACAAGCAGUGGAGUAUGUGGUUUAAUUCGAAGCAACGCGAAGAACCUUACCAGGACUUGACAUCCCUCGCAAUCCAAGGAAACUUGGAGUUCCUACGGGACGAGGAGACAGGUGG
rnacentral:rRNA from 1 species